rnacentral:rRNA from 1 species
AGAGUUUGAUCAUGGCUCAGGACGAACGCCGGCGGCGUGCCUAAUGCAUGCAAGUCGAGCGGGCUACGAUCUUCGGAUUGUAGCUUAGCGGCGAACGGGUGGGUAACACGUAGGUAAUCUACCCUUCAGAGGAGGACAACCUCAGGAAACUGAGGCUAAACCUCCAUACGUUCACUGGUAGGGAUACUGGUGAAGAAAGAGUUACCUUAGUGGUAGCUGCUGAAGGAUGAGCCUGCGGCCCAUCAGGUAGUUGGUGAGGUAACGGCUCACCAAGCCGAAGACGGGUAACCGGUCUGAGAGGAUGUCCGGUCACACUGGGACUGAGACACGGCCCAGACUCCUACGGGAGGCAGCAGCAGGGAAUCUUGGGCAAUGGGCGAAAGCCUGACCCAGCGACGCCGCGUGGAGGAAGAAGUCCUUCGGGGCGUAAACUCCUGGACUGGGGGACGAGUAAGGACGGUACCCCAGUAGAAAGGGACGGCUAACUACGUGCCAGCAGCCGCGGUAAAACGUAGGUCCCGAGCGUUGUUCGGAUUCACUGGGUGUAAAGGGCGCGUAGGUGGUUGUCUGUGUCUCAUGUGAAAACUCAGGGCUCAACUCUGAGAUUGCGUGGGAAACUAGGCAGCUAGAGGACGGUAGAGGGGAGUGGAAUUCCCGGUGUAGCGGUAAAAUGCGUAGAUAUCGGGAGGAACACCGGUGGCGAAGGCGGCUCUCUGGGCCGAUCCUGACGCUGAGGCGCGAAAGCUAGGGGAGCGAACCGGAUUAGAUACCCGGGUAGUCCUAGCCGUAAACGAUGGGUGCUAGGUGUUGGGGGGUAAAGACCCUUCAGUGCCGAAGCCAACGCGAUAAGCAUCCCACCUGGGGAGUACGGCCGCAAGGUUGAAACUCAAAUGAAUUGACGG